AUUGAACGCUGGCGGCAGGCCUAACACAUGCAAGUCGAACGGUAACAGGAAGAAGCUUGCUUCUUUGCUGACGAGUGGCGGACGGGUGAGUAAUGUCUGGGAAACUGCCUGAUGGAGGGGGAUAACUACUGGAAACGGUAGCUAAUACCGCAUAACGUCGCAAGACCAAAAAGGGGGACCUUCUGGCCUCUUGCCAUCUGAUGUGCCCAGAUGGGAUUAGCUAGUAGGUGGGGUAACGGCUCACCUAGGCGACGAUCCCUAGCUGGUCUGAGAGGAUGACCAGCCACACUGGAACUGAGACACGGUCCAGACUCCUACGGGAGGCAGCAGUGGGGAAUAUUGCACAAUGGGCGCAAGCCUGAUGCAGCCAUGCCGCGUGUAUGAAGAAGGCCUUCGGGUUGUAAAGUACUUUCAGCGGGGAGGAAGGGAGUAAAGUUAAUACCUUUGCUCAUUGACGUUACCCGCAGAAGAAGCACCGGCUAACUCCGUG
rnacentral:rRNA from 1 species